CACACAUUCAUCGUGAUUUGAGGGUUGGAUCUUCAUCGGCGUGAACCAGGCAGCUGGUUCUCUCUCAUCUUCGCCUGAGUUCAGGUGAGAUGGGCUGCUUUAAAAUGGGGUAGGGGGUGAAGUUACGAGCGAGUGAAUGAUUAGGCAAUCCAGAGCACUUGAUUGCAUUUAGAUACUCUGUUGUGUAGAGAAGGUUUACUCCAUCGAUAUCACUCUCAUCGUUGGCGAUAUUGUC